rnacentral:rRNA from 1 species
CUAUACAUGACUCUGCGCAUAUCAAUAAGCGGAGGAAAAGAAACUAACAAGGGUUCCCCUAGUAACGGCGAGUGAAGCGGGAAGAGCUCAAAUUUGAAAUCUUAAAGGGUUUCCCUUUACGAAUUGUAGUUUAAAGAAGUGUUUUCUGUUGAGGUUUUGGUAAAAGUUCUUUGGAAUAGGACAUCAUAGAGGGUGAGAAUCCCGUAUUUGACCUUUACUUUCAACUUUGUGAUACACUUUCAAAGAGUCGGAUUGUUUGGGAAUGCAGUCCAAAAUGGGUGGUAAAUUUCAUCUAAAGCUAAAUAUUGGCGAGAGACCGAUAGCGAACAAGUACCGUGAGGGAAAGAUGAAAAGAACUUUGAAAAGAGAGUUAAACAGUACGUGAAAUUGUCAAAAGGGAAGCGUUUGACACCAGUGUUGUUUUUCUGAAAAUCAAUUAAAGAACUGUUUAUGCUAAGUUGUUUAGACUUUAUCAGCUAUCUGCCUAGUUUUGAGCUUUUCUUUAAUGCACUUUUCAGUUAACAAGUCAACAUCAAUUUCUUUUGCUGUAAAAAAGCUUGAGGAAGGUGGCUUGAGAUUCGUCUUAAGUGUUUAUAGCCUCUUGCCUAUGCAGUCGGAGAGAUUGAGGUCUGCAGCGUAGAUCCUUCGGGGCUAAAUGCAUUUGUGCUAAGUUAUAGCAUUUUAUAGACAACUUGUUGACUAUGAUUUGUCUUGUAGCUUACUCGCUUAUGUUAUUUUACCUACGCUUAGGAUGUUGAGCGCAUGUCUCUCUCU